rnacentral:rRNA from 1 species
CCCUUAGAUGUUCUGGGCCGCACGCGCGCUACACUGACUACUUCAACGAGUUGUUUCCUUGAUCGAAAGGUCUGGGUAAUCUUUGAAAGGUAGUCGUGAUGGGGAUAGAUCCUUGCAAUUUUUGAUCUUCAACGAGGAAUUCCUAGUAAACGCAAGUCGUCAGCUUGCAUUGAUUACGUCCCUGCCCUUUGUACACACCGCCCGUCGCACCUACCGAUUGAAUGGUCCGGUGAAUCUUUAGGACUGUGGCUGAGGCCUUGCCUUGUGCGGGUCUGGCCGUGGGAAUUUAGUUAAACCUUACCAUUUAGAGGAAGGUGAAGUCGUAACA